AACAAAUUUUAAUCGUCGAGAACCAAAUUUUUUAAUUUUCAUUGCACUAGAAAUAAGUCUAUGCAUUAAUAAACUAAUAUCUAAUUAAGUCAUUACAAUAACAAGCCUUGGAAAAUCGUAUGAAAAAUAAAAUUAACAUCGACACUUAUUAUUGGCAUUCAUUUAUUUUUAUUACUUGUUAAUUCUACGCUUGAUUCAAUACGGUUUAUAAUUAUAGUAUAAAAAGACGUUUGGAUCAGAACAAAAUUAUAUUUCUCUUUGAACGAAGAAAAAUAAACAACAAUGAAAAACAUUUUUGUGGUAGCCAUGGUAGUCAUCAUGACGGUAGUCGCGGUUGCUAUGGGCCAAUGCCCCAACUGCCAUCCGCGUGAAGAAAUCCCAUCACCUUGAGUUCAGCCGUUUUCGUGAUGUGUAACAGUUUAAUUUUGAAAUAAACUGAAAUUGCAUAUUUA